rnacentral:rRNA from 1 species
AUGGUUGUCGUCAGCUCGUGUCGUGAGAUGUUGGGUUAAGUCCCGCAACGAGCGCAACCCUCGCUCUAGUUGCCAGCAUUCGGUUGGGCACUCUAGAGGGACUGCCGGCGACAAGUCGGAGGAAGGUGGGGAUGACGUCAAAUCAUCAUGCCCCUUAUGACCUGGGCUACACACGUGCUACAAUGGGCGGUACAAAGGGUCGCGAACCCGCAGGGGGAGCCAAUCCCAAAAAGCCGCUCUCAGUUCGGAUUGCAGGCUGCAACUCGCCUGCAUGAAGCCGGAAUCGCUAGUAAUCGCGGAUCAGCAUGCCGCGGUGAAUACCGGUUCCCGGGCCUU